AGAUAGUGCCUUUCAGGCAUCCUCUCCCAAAACUUCUACGGCCUGGUCGGAAACGACCGGGCCUUUUUUCUUGUCCGG
rnacentral:sRNA from 1 species